rnacentral:rRNA from 1 species
AUACGGAGGGUGCAAGCGUUACUCGGAAUCACUGGGCGUAAAGCGCGCGCAGGCGGGCUGAUAAGUUGGAUGUGAAAGCCUACGGCUCAACCGUAGAACUGCAUCCAAAACUGGCAGUCUAGAGUGUGGGAGAGGAAGAUGGAAUUAGUUGUGUAGGGGUAAAAUCCGUAGAGAUAACUAGGAAUACCAAAAGCGAAGGCAAUCUUCUGGAACACUACUGACGCUGAGGCGCGAAGGCGUGGGGAGCAAACAGGAUUAGAUACCCCAGUAGUCC